CAAAGCUUGAGGAUACCUGUUGCUCUUGAGACACUUUUCAGAAGCACAAGGAUUACCCCCAGAGAAGAAAGGGAUACCCUGCUGUGUCUGGUAAUCUGCAAUUAGAAAAUGAUCCCAAGGGGGACUAUUAGCAGCUGGUAUGGUUUAGAGCUGUCCAGACAAGCACUGAAUUAGCUGGAGAAUCUGGAACCACAACUAGCUGCUUGACAAGCCUCUCACUCAUCCUAUCUUGCAAACAGCAAAAUCUGCAUACAGCAAAGAUUUUGAGCUGCUGUCUGACAAUACAUCAGCAUGUGCUAUGGUGGAACAGAUAAGGCACUGGAGCACAGAAAAAAAUAGGACCAAAAAUUUUCAUCUCUCUUAGGAGCCAAUUUGAAACACCAGCAAAAUGAUUUUUGAGGGUUGUUAGCUUUAUAUUGCUUUCUUUAUGCUCAAAAGUCAACUAUCAGUGACUUCAGCUGUGGCUUCAAAUACCAGACACUUCCACCUAUUUGACCACCCCAUAGCUGUCUAUGUGCCUUAAACAUAAGGGACACGCCAUGUCUGGUAAGUCUAGUUUUACAAAGUUGCAUGACAUAGUGGAGGCAGAGACCUAAUCCUGUUCAACUGGCUGGUAUUGGCAACCUUAAACUCAUAACUCCAUGUUUCCUGCCUGCAGUCUGUGAUCUCAUGUAAUCCCUUCCAGUUUCAGCAGCAAAUGAGGUUAGGGUACUAGGCUCAGCUAUGGCCCUUAUUUACAGACUAAAUUCAAGUGUCAUUUAACAAAGUCUGUUACUACACAUGAAGGGGUCAGGAAAAUGAUGCAGGGACUUUCUAUUUUGCAAUGAUACUCUUAGCAAAGAGAUCUUCUUUAUGUAGUC